GAGGGUCUAGCUCAGUGGUAGAGCGCAUGCUUAGCAUGCACAAGGUCCUGGGUUCAAUCCCCAGUACCUCCA
rnacentral:tRNA from 1 species